rnacentral:rRNA from 1 species
GCAUAUCAAUAAGCGGAGGAAAAGAAACCAACAGGGAUUGCCCUAGUAACGGCGAGUGAAGCGGCAACAGCUCAAAUUUGAAAUCUGGCGCAAGCCCGAGUUGUAAUUUGUAGAGGAUGUUUCUGGCGACGCGCCUUCCGAGUUCCCUGGAACGGGACGCCAUAGAGGGUGAGAGCCCCGUACGGUUGGAUGCCUAGCCUCUGUGAAACUCCUUCGACGAGUCGAGUAGUUUGGGAAUGCUGCUCUAAAUGGGAGGUAUACGUCUUCUAAAGCUAAAUACCGGCCAGAGACCGAUAGCGCACAAGUAGAGUGAUCGAAAGAUGAAAAGCACUUUGAAAAGAGGGUUAAAAAGUACGUGAAAUUGUUGAAAGGGAAGCGUUCAUGACCAGACUUGGGCAGGUUGAUCAUCCGUGGUUCUCCGCGGUGCACUCUGCCUGCCCAGGCCAGCAUCAGUUCGCCCCGGGGGAUAAAGGCUUUGGGAAUGUGGCUCCCUCGGGAGUGUUAUAGCCCACUGCGUAAUACCCUGGGGUGGACUGAGGUUCGCGCUCUGCAAGGAUGCUGGCGUAAUGGUCAUCAACGACCCGUCUUGAAACACGGACCAAGGAGUCGUCUUCGUAUGCGAGUGUUCGGGUGUCAAACCCCUACGCGUAAUGAAAGUGAACGUAGGAGAGAGCUUCGGCGCAUCUCCGACCGAUCCUGAUGUUCUCGGAUGGAUUUGAGUAAGAGCAUACGGGGCCGGACCCGAAAGAAGGUGAACUAUGCCUGUAUAGGGUGAAGCCAGAGGAAACUCUGGUGGAGGCUCGCAGCGGUUCUGACGUGCAAAUCGAUCGUCAAAUAUGGGCAUGGGGGCGAAAGACUAAUCGAACCUUCUAGUAGCUGGUUUCCGCCGAAGU